rnacentral:rRNA from 1 species
GUGCCUACACAUGCAAGUCGAACGAGAAAGGGUAGCAAUACCUGAGUACAGUGGCGCACGGGUGAGUAACACGUGACUAACCUACCCUGGAGUGGGGAAUAACUGAGGGAAACCUUAGCUAAUACCGCAUAAUACCUACGGGUCAAAGGAGCAAUUCGCUUCAGGAGGGGGUCGCGGCCGAUUAGUUAGUUGGCGGGGUAAUGGCCCACCAAGACAAUGAUCGGUAUCCGGCCUGAGAGGGCGCACGGACACACUGGAACUGAAACACGGUCCAGACUCCUACGGGAGGCAGCAGUGGGGAAUUUUGCGCAAUGGGGGAAACCCUGACGCAGCAACGCCGCGUGGAGGAUGAAAUCCCUUGGGAUGUAAACUCCUUUCGAUCGGGACGAUUAUGACGGUACCGGAAGAAGAAGCCCCGGCUAACUUCGUGCCAGCAGCCGCGGUAAUACGAGGGGGGCAAGCGUUGUUCGGAAUUAUUGGGCGUAAAGGGAGUGUAGGCGGUUUGGUAAGUCGUGUGUGAAAUCUUCGGGCUCAACCCGAAGUCUGCACACGAAACUGCCGGGCUUGAGUAUGGGAGAGGUGAGUGGAAUUCCUGGUGUAGCGGUGAAAUGCGUAGAUAUCAGGAGGAACACCUGUGGCGAAAGCGGCUCACUGGACCAUUACUGACGCUGAGACUCGAAAGCUAGGGGAGCAAACAGGAUUAGAUACCCUGGUAGUCCUAGCCCUAAACGAUGACUGCUUGGUGUGGCGGGUACCCAAUCCCGCCGUGCCGUAGCUAACGCGUUAAGCAGUCCGCCUGGGGAGUACGGUCGCAAGGCUGAAACUCAAAGGAAUU